GCCGGGUGCGGUGGCAUGUGCCUGUAAUCCAAGUCACUGGGAGGCUGAGGUUGGUGGAUCAAGUGAGCUGAGGAGCUCUGGGCUGCAGCACGCUAUGUCGAACGGGUGUCCACGCUAAGUUCGGUAUCGAUAUGGUGUUCCUUGGGGAGCCUGGGACCACCAGGUUGUCUAAGGAGGGGUGAACCGGCCCAGGUCGGAAACGAAGAAGGUCAAAUCCCCCGUGCUGUCCAGUAGUGGGAUAAUACCUGUGAGUAGAUGCUGCAGUGCAGCCUUGGCAAAACAUCGAGACCUAAUCUUUU
ensembl:misc_RNA Metazoa_SRP Metazoan signal recognition particle RNA